rnacentral:sRNA from 2 species
GAAUUGCGACACUACCUCGUGACGGUCCGAUAGACAGCACUCCUCCUCCCAUGCUGUCGGUCACUAUCGAAGCCCGGCGCCCUCUCCUGCGCCGGGCUUCUUUC